GGGGUUGGGGCUCAGUGGUAGAGCGCUUGCCUAGCAUGCAUGAGGCACUUGGUUUGAUCUUCAACACCA
rnacentral:tRNA from 1 species